rnacentral:rRNA from 1 species
AGUGAACGCUGGCGGUAGGCCUAACACAUGCAAGUCGAACGGCAGCACCGUAAGAGCUUGCUCUUCCGGGUGGCGAGUGGCGGACGGGUGAGUAAUACAUCGGAAUCUACUUUUUCGCUGGGGAUUACGUCGGGAAAAUUACGCCUAUACCCCAUACGCCCCAUCGGUGAAAGCAGGGGAACUUCUGACCUUUCGCGCUUUAAUGAGCCGAUGUCGGAUUAGUUAGUUUGCGGGGGAAAGGCCCACCCAGGCGACGAAACGUAGAUGGUCUGUGAGGAUGGUCAGCUCCACCGGAACUGAGCCACGGUCCAGACUACUACGGGAGGCAGCAGAGGGGAAUAUAGGACUAUGGGCGGAGGCCUGGUCCAACCAUACCGCGUAGGUGGAGGAAGCCUUCGGGUUGUAAAGCCCUUUUGUUGGGAAAGAAAAGCAGCAGGUUAAUACCCCGCUGUUCUGACGGUACCCAAAGAAUAAGCACCGGCUAACUUCGUG